CAGCAGCCGCGGGAAUACGAAGGGUGCAAGCGUUACUCGGAAUUACUGGGCGUAAAGCGCACGUAGGCGGAUAUUUAAGUCAGGGGUGAAAUCCCGCAGCUCAACUGCGGAACUGCCUUUGAUACUGGGUAUCUUGAGUAUGGAAGAGGUUAGUGGAAUUGCGAGUGUAGAGGUGAAAUUCGUAGAUAUUCGCAGGAACACCAGUGGCGAAGGCGGCUAACUGGUCCAUAACUGACGCUGAGGUGCGAAAGCGUGGGGAGCAAACAGGAUUAGAGACCCCCGUAGUCCCUGUCUCUUAUAC
rnacentral:rRNA from 1 species